rnacentral:rRNA from 1 species
AGUGAACGCUGGCGGUAGGCCUAACACAUGCAAGUCGAACGGCAGCACAGUAAGAGCUUGCUCUUACGGGUGGCGAGUGGCGGACGGGUGAGGAAUACAUCGGAAUCUACUUUUUCGUGGGGGAUAACGUAGGGAAACUUACGCUAAUACCGCAUACGACCUACGGGUGAAAGCAGUGGAUCUUCGGACCUUGCGCGAUUGAAUGAGCCGAUGUCGGAUUAGCUAGUUGGCGGGGUAAAGGCCCACCAAGGCGACGAUCCGUAGCUGGUCUGAGAGGAUGAUCAGCGACGCUGGAACUGAGACACGGUCCAGACUCCUACGGGAGGCAGCAGUGGGGAAUAUUGGACAAUGGGCGCAAGCCUGAUCCAGCCAUACCGCGUGGGUGAAGAAGGCCUUCGGGUUGUAAAGCCCUUUUGUUGGGAAAGAAAAGCAGCAGGUUAAUACCCCGCUGUUCUGACGGUACCCAAAGAAUAAGCACCGGCUAACUUCGUG